UCAGCUAACUACCCUUACUCAUCUCCACCACCACCGGCUUCUCCUCCCUACCACUACAAGUCACCACCACCUCCUUCUCCUUCUCCUCCAGUGUACUCACCACCUAAGCAUCCCUACCACCCCAAGUCACCACCACCAUCACCAAAGCCUUACCACUACAAGUCCCCACCACCACCUCCUCCUCCAGUGCACUCACCACCCCCACCAAAGGAGCCUUACCACUACAAGUCUCCACCACCACCACCCAAGAAACCUCACCAUCACAAGUCUCCUCCACCACCACCCAGGAAGCCCUACCACCCGGUGCACUCACCCCCACCACCAAAGAAGCCUUACCAUUACAAGUCUCCUCCACCACCACCCAAGAAGCCCUACCACCCGGUGCACUCACCCCCACCACCAAAGAAGCCUUACCAUUACAAGUCUCCUCCACCACCACCCAAGAAGCCCUACCACCCGGUGCACUCCCCACCACCACCAAAGAAGCCUUACCAUUACAAGUCUCCUCCACCACCACCCAAGAAGCCCUACCACCCGGUGCACUCACCCCCACCACCAAAGAAGCCUUACCAUUACCAAUCCCCACCACCACCACCACCACACAAGAAGCCUCACCACCCAGUUCACUCACCACCUCCACCUAAGAAGCCUUACCACUACACGUCUCCCCCACCACCCCCUCCAGUCCACAAGUCUCCUCCACCACCAGUUCACUCACCACCACCACCACCUAUUAAACCUUACAAGCCACCAACACCUCCAACAGUUCACCCACCACCCGCUUACAUCUAUUCAUCACCCCCACCUCCUCACCACUACUAGAUAUUGAGAGCUUAGUUGCAUCCAGUUGGUAAGCCUCUCCAUUCUAUGUUUUUAGAUCAUAUCCAUACAACUGCAAGCAAUCGCCAAAUAAUUUGACAAAAAACAUCCCUAGCUAUAAAAUUAUAAUACACUAGUGUUUACUUCCUUUUUUGUCUAAUAAUCCAUAUUGGCAUAUGCAAGCUUAAUGCAUUUCCAGCAUAUCGUCAUUACUCAAUUAAAGUUUCUUGAUAUUUAGUAGUACUCAAGUGUAACAAAUAGACCAAUGACAGAGACCUAACAAGUAACAAUAAUAUAUAUAUAUAUAUAUAUAUAUAUAUAUAUAUAUAUAUAUCUUUGCAGGUAAAGGAAGAAGAAGUCGAACAGCGCGCCUUAUCACCACACAAAGACGAAGAAGAGAAAGACAACGAGUUUCCACGCAGCUGCUGAUGUAACGUGUUUUAUUUAUGCGAUAUUUGUUAAAGGUCCAUAUUUUCCUUUCCUUGUAAUAUUAGACGGUUGUAGGGCACUCAUGUUUCAUGUAGUUGAUUUCCUGUUUGUCGAAAGAGAUGGUAUAUGUAUGUCGUUUGUUUCAACCUUCCAAUGGAGAGGUGAUCAUAAUAAUAAUAAAAUAAAUAGAUUUUCCAAAUUUUCCUUAAUUUCUCACACAUCUGAUAUGUUUUAUUCUCUUAAUAAUUAGAUUUCCAAAUAAUGUUAGAGAAACCACAUAUACAACAGGUGUACCAUUUGUUCUGACAAGUGAUAAUUAGGGUAAAUUACAUAAAACUACCUAAAUUAUUGGGUCAUUAACAAUUUCAUACCUCGUCUUUAAAAAGUUUCAAUGUCAUACCUUCUGUCAGUUGUCCGUCAAUUUUUUUGUUAAAUGCUGACGUGGCUUGAGACUGGACUAACUUUUUAUUAAAAAAAUUAAUUAAAUAUUAUUAAAAACUAAAAAAAUCAUUUAAUAUUUUUAAAUAUUAAACUAAUAAUUAAUUAAAGAAAAAUUUUUAAAAAAAAUACAACCAGUUUGUCUUCCCCACCCCCUUCUUACCCCACUCGAGCCCACUCCCUCUCUGUCUAAUCCCGCUUACAAACCCCUCCCCUCACCUUCUUCCCCAGCCUACCCGUUCCCCCACCUCUCUCCUGCACCACCAAAACCAGAACCACUCACCCACCGCCGUCCUCUCCUCCUCCAUCUUUGAUUCGAGCUCCAUUUUCAAAAAUUCCUCCCCGAAUCGACCCAAACAACCACAAAAAGCACCCACUUCGCCCAAGUAGGUAAGAAAUUACGGAUUUGGAAAAUGGCAAUCCCCAAAUAUGGGGCGAUUUCUGCAGCAACAUCACCAUUCCCUUUUUUUUUUCUUUGCAACUGACAUCACCAUUUCCAUCCCAACAUGAAUAGCAACUUGAACAACAUGCACACACCCAUUCGAGGACUGCGAUCCAGUUCCCAGUCUGGGUUCGGAUCGACACCAUCGUUUUGGUGGUGAAUGAGGGAGGUGAGGGGACGGGUAGGCUGGGGAAGAAGGUGAGGGGAGGGGUUUGUAAGCGGGAUUAGAGAGAGAGGGAGUGGGCUCAGUGAGGGGAGAAGGGGGUGUGGAAGACGAACUGGGGUUUUUAUUUUUUUUAUUUUUUAUUUUUUAAACUUUUCUUUAAUUAAUUAUUAUUUUAAUAUUUAAAAAUUUUUAAAUGAUUUUUUUAGUUUUUAAUAAUAUUUAAUUAAUUUUUUUAAUAAAAAGUGAGCCCACCUUAUGCCACGUCAGCAUUUAACAAAGGAAUUGACAGACAACUGACGGAAGGUAUGACAUUGCAACAAAAUCAAAGAUAAGGUAUGAUAUUGAAACUUUUUAAAGAAGAGGUAUGAAACUGUUAAUGACCCAAUAGUUGAGGUAGUUUUAUGUAAUUUACCCUGAUAAUUACAUGUUACCUCAAUUAAUGUGCUUAUCUCAUUGCUAGUUGUAAUAUCACUUGCCACAUUAUAUGGUGAUGUGGUGUAUAUAUGUGGCAUCAUUAACAUCACUCGAGAUUCCUCGUAAUUAAUAAUAUAUCUGAGUGUUGUUAACAAAUAAAAGGAUGAGAAAGAAGAGCUAACAAGAGUUGGUUAAGUUGGUAAGAAUUAUUCUCUUCGCUAGAUCAAAUUUUAUGUUCAAGUUCAGCUGCUGACAAUCCCUCUUAGUAGAUGAUCGUAAAAACGAAAAAAGGGGCUAAGACCCCUUCUGUAAGUCUUCCAUAAGGCUUGCGUAUGCCUUGAUCUUGGGAUGGGAUAUCCUCCUGCACCCCUAAACUUUUUAUUAACAAAAAAAAAAGAAUGAGAAAAAAGAAAAAAUUAUUUACAAAUGCUCUUGUUCCAUAAACACAAAAUAAAGAAGGCUAAAAAUUGUUAAAAUGCCUACAUAACCAAAAGAUUACAUUUAUUUUUGUACUAACUAACAACAUGUAUUUAUAAAGACCUAAUUCUAAAACAAACUGGAAAGUAAUCUAAUUAAUUCUAACGAAAAACAUAAAAAUACACUAACAUAAAAUAAACCGUUUGAUAACUUUUUCCAAUGUGUACUUGGCCACCUUUUAAUCACAAAAAAUAAUAUAACUAGUUUGACCCCUUCAUUGAGCUAACAAUUAUAAAAUAUAAAAAUUUCAGAAGAAAUAAAUAUAUAAAGAAAAAUACUGUUCGUACCACAUGUUCGCUGCAAGUGCAAAGAAAUCUGAAUAGCCACAACUUUAGGAAGAAGUAAGUUUUGUGGACUCUUUCUUAAAAGGCUUAAAUGUUAAAAUGGUUCUUCUGGUAUAAGCAUAUGGUCAAUUUAGUGUUUAUAUUUUUUAUUGGGCUUCAUUGACACACCCCGACCCAUAAUGUCCACUAGGACUCCGAAUCGAGAUGUGCUGGCCGACACCUGGAAGGUGACGAAGCCAUAAAGUGUGAUGAUGAAGAAAAUUGUGAAUAAAUUUAAACCUAAGAGUGCCUAAAUAUCAAAGUGCAUUGGUGAGCAGGAAUGAACUCACUUCACACGUGACGUUAGAGCAUAAGCAAGUACAGAAAAAUGAUAUAAGAAUCGUACCCUCGAAAUAGUCUCUGAUACUAAGAAUCGCUGCGAGUCUUUGGUGAUAAUAAAACUUAGCUAAUAAUACCUGGAGGAUGAAGACAAGACAAGGGUGAGUGGCAAUGUAAGUAAAUACUAAUAGAAAACAUAUAACACAUGUAAUCCCUCGUUACAACAUAUGUAUAGUUUCCAAAGAAAUCAUAAUGUACCACAACACAACAUCUCAUCAAUAAUAUCAAAUAAUCAAGCGAUUAAUAACUCAUAAUAGUACGCAAGUCAGAGUCACCUCUAGUGACCUAUACGACAUAUUCAUAUCUCAUCACAUCUCUCAUCAAUCAUGGCUAGCAUAUAAGUCGGAGUCACUUCUAGUGACCUAUACGACAUAUCCAUACAUCAUCACAUAUCUCAUCCAUCAUGGCUAGCAUAUAAGUCGGAGUCGCCUCUAGUGACUUAUAUGACAUAUUCACAUCUCAUCAAAUGUCUUAUCCAUCAUGGCUAAUACCGUGUACUUACUUGAAUUUACUUAAACUUAACUGAACUUACCUGAAUGUCCUACGUUCACCUUUGCACUUCAGAGCGCUCAUAGUAACACAAUUAUAUAUAAUGCAUCAUAUACCAAUUCAUAUACGAAUUAUAAACUUAUAUGCAUGGCAUUCAAGGCAUAAUCUCAUUUAAACAUAUUUCUGGGAAAAUAUCAAGUAUGUUGAUGCACAAAACCGGAGAUCUUGAAACAACGUAAAUCUGACCGUGAAUCUGCAUGAAAUGUAAAUAACACAAGAUGUAUCGUGGUUCACCCCAAGGUUUGAGCUACGUCCACACUGAUAUUGUAUUUAUCUGAGAGGUGAGGGAGAGAACCUCUGAAUAUGAGAGGGGAUGUGAGAAGGGUGAGAAGGCUUAAGAAAUGGCCCCCCUCAUUGUGAGGGUGAUGAGUCCUUUUAUAGAAUAAGGGCUCCUCACUUAUUACAUAUUUACCCCUUCCUUUAUCACAUAAUUACAUUUAAGUCCCCCGAGUAUUUGUACGAGAUCUAAAUACGAGGCCCUAAAUAUGAUAUAAACAGUAGUCCCCCAAGUCUUUAGUCAAGAGAGUCUUUUAGCUGGAGACUUGAAAUUUAGUCCAUGUGUGGGCCGAAGUAACUAGAUGUUGUCUUGAACUGAUGUUCAACUAGAAGUAGCACAUGUUGCGAGGCUGCGAGGCUCGUGGCUUAUGUUGCCUUGGUUAGCUCAGCUUGUAGCGUUGAAGGUGAGGGAGUCCCUUUUAUAGAAUAAGGGCUCGCUCCUCAAUACAUGAAUGAUAGGCUAGAGUUAAUACUCUCUAAUGAUGGUGAGGGAGUCCCUUUUAUAAAAUAAAGGUUCGCUCCUCAGUACAUGAAUAAUGGGUUAGGAGUGAUGCUCGCGGCGAGGCAGUUACGCAACUGGCGGCGAUGCUCUCUAACGAAGGUGAGGGAGUCCCUUUUAUAAAAUAAAGGCUCGCUCCUCAAUACAUAAGUGAUGGGCUAAGUCCCCCAAGUAUUUUUCAUGAGUGACUAAUGAAAGUGAGGGAAUUCCUUUUAUAGAAUAAGGGCUCGCUCCUCAGUACAUAGAUAAUGGGCUAGGUCCCCCAAGUAUUUUCCAUAUGGCCCAGUUGAGGCCCAAUAUAUGGUACAUAAUGUAGUCCCCCAAGUCUUCGGUCAAUAGAGUCUGUUGGCUGGAGACUUCAAAUUGAAUCCAUGUAUGGGCCGAAGUGGCGGUUGUUCGGAAGCGGUAUUUGUAUACCUUGAAUUGAAGCUUUGUAGGUAAAGCUUUGCAAGUGAAGCUUUGAAACUGUAGCUCUGUAAAUAAAGCUUUUGAAGCUAGAGCUUUGUAAAUGAAGUUUUUGAAGAUAGAGCUCUGUAAAUGAAGCUUUUGAAGCUAGAGCUUUUGUAAAUGAAGCUUUUGAAGCUGAUUGACAUGAGUGAUACUCAUGAAUGUUUAUGUUGAGUGAUGCUCAUGGAUGUUGACAUGAGUGAUGCUCAUGAAUGUUGACAUGAGUGAUGCUCAUGGAUGUUGACAUGAGUGAUGCUCAUGAAUGUUUAUGUAUGAUUGAUAGGAGUAAUACUCAUGAAUGUUUAUGUAUGACUGACAUGAGUAAUGCUUAUGUAUAAUUUGGGAGUACUGGGCAUACUUUUGAUCACCUGGUUGGUGGUAAUAGCGGCAGGUUGUUGAAUAAUUGUGGAGUACUGGGCGUACUUUUGAUCGCCUGGUUGGAGCUAUUUUGGGCUUAUGGGUCUUCGCCCUUUACACAACAUUCCAACCCAUUUAUUUUAGGCUUUUGCCCUUUUUUUUUGGUAUUAUUACCCUCUGAUGGGGUUUAUACAUAUGUCUCCGAAAGAUAAGAAAAAUAAAUUACAUCAUACAAAAACAAGAAAAGUAAAUCACAUCAUUCUGGUGGGGAGUUUAUUCUUUUUUUGAAAAGAGGAACAUGCAUGAUUCAGAAGUUGGUGGUCGACAGUUGGUUUUCAGAAAAUGGGCAGGUUCAUGAUGAUGAAGAAUCUUAUCUUGUCGCUUUGCCCACGCUGUCCAUGACCCAAUCACUGCUGGCCUUGACCCCAACCCUGGCCGACUCAGGGAGCUCAAAACAUUGUUCCUUGAGCAGCCCAAUACAAAGGCCAAAUCCCUCACCAUAUAGCUCAUUGACCUUCACGGGCCCCUAACCCAACAAUGCUUCGGAAUGGCAGCUUUAACAUCGGCUAAUUUGAAUGGCGGCGGUGCACCCAGAUCAAAUCCCACCUCCUCUUCUCCGCCAUUAACGCCGUUAACCCUCUCAUCCUCCUUUUCGACUGAAGCUACCCUCAACGGAGCGCUCACGUUAAGACCCCAUCUUCUCUCUCUAAACAACCCAUCUGCGAUUUUGGUCGAAUCCCAUCUCAGAUCCGCCAAGCUCUGGUUUGACCAAAAAACCCAAACUUUUGACGGGUAGCUAGAGCAAAUUGCGGUUCUGGGUCGAUUCCAAACUUGCGGGAGAGGCUUUAGGCCGCAUUCAGAAAGGACCCAACUCGCCAUUGGAGACCCAAAUGGAGCAGAAACCAACACCAGGGCACAGCAGAUCUGGACUCUUUUCUCAUGGGCCAAAGCCAUCCAUCUCAUUUCUUCCCCGCUCAGCCGCCACCCUCUCUCCUCUCCUCUCCUCUCUCUCUCUAAGUCAGAGAAAUGAUAAAGCGGCGAUUCUACAAGCUAGAACAUGGCGACAAAGAUGGCCCCUCAAAUUUGUCUUCAUCCUCAAAUUCGGAAAUAGAACCACAAGCCACAGACGACUCCGAUGAAGAAGAAGAAUAUGAUGCAGUCGAACAACUCAAGGACGAUGCUCAAUCUUGCUCUACCUCCUCUGGAUAUCAGAGUGAGGAUAGCUCAGCUAAUAAAGCUUUGAAAGAUGAUGAUGCUUCAACAGGACAUGAAAUACCAUAUCUUAUUGCCGAUCAGUUGCUUGGUAAAAGUGGUUCAGAAUUACUAGAGGAAGAAUCUUACAUCAUGCCAAACGAGGAAUAAAUACCAGUAGAUUUACUAGACUGUAUCGUGAAAUGCAAAUCAACUUUCAAAUGCAAGUUAUGCCCUAGAGUUGUCUGUUUGAAUGAGAAGAGUUUAAGGGCUCAUCUGAAGGUAGGCUGAAGACCAUACUGAACGCUGAUGGGAAAAUUGAUGAAGAAAAGACCCCUACUUUAUAUGCAAAAAUUCUUGCUAAUUCACAGGGUAUGCCGAGAAAGAAAAGUAAAAGACAGGACAAGAAUGGGUCGAAAAAGAGGACGAGAUAUGGUGUAUGGUGGUCAGCAAUCUAAAGGGAACCCUACGUAUUGAUGCUAGUAUUGGUUAGAAGGAACUUGGACUAAUGUUGGAGUUUGUGGCACAGCCGUUUUGUAAACACUUGCCUUGUAAUGAGACCUCCAUUUAUAAGACAGAUCUUGAUUAUGGCUCUAGAAUUUGGAAUUUAGAGUGGAUUGGUGAGCAUGGAGAGAGAGAGAGCUCUGUUUCUGUGUCUCUGUGUGGGUUUUGCAGAUUCACGGCUGAGGUGAAAAAUUAAGAAAGAACGGACAUAUCUUUUCGUGUCGAUUCCCACAGACGGCACCAAAUGUUGAUGGAGGUCUUGGAACAACGUAAAUCCGACCAUGAAUCUGCAUGAAAUGUAAAUAACACAAGAUGUAUCGUGGUUCACCCCAAGGUUUGGGCUACGUCCACACUGAUAUUGUAUUUAUCUGAGAGGUGAGGGAGAGAACCUUUGAAUAUGAUAGGGGAUGUGAGAAGGGUGAGAAGGCUUAAGAAAUAGCCUCCCCUCAUUGUAAGGGUGAGGGGUGAGGAGUCCUUUUAUAGAAUAAGGGCUCCUCACUUAUUACAUAUUUACCCCUUCCUUUAUCACAUAAUUACAUUUAAGUCCCCCAAGUAUUUGUACGAGAUCUACAUACGAGGCCCUAAAUAUGGUAUAAACAAAGUAUAUAAAUAUAUACUGAAAACCAAAAGCCCACACACAUUGCUCAAUUCCUUAAACAAGGCUAUGGUCUCGAUUAUUUAAUCUCAUUUCUUAUAUGGCUGCAUCUAACGUCUCGUUAGACUGCCUACGUACCCUAAGCAGGGAUUAAGCCAUUCGUAGUUCACACUAAUCAUUUAUGGUAAUACGCAUAUGGAUAUAUCAUGAAGAAGUCUAAACUCAACUAUCUCAUAGUAUUUUAUAACAUAUAAGUAUAUAUAUGUCAUAGCAUAAAUUUCUCAAUUUUAUUUAAAAGCAUUCAUAGAAUUAUCAAUCACGAAAAAUAUGAUAAGCAAGGAAAGCUCCACUCACCUGGAGUCCGCGCUACAACUUCCUAGUACAAACAUCGAGGCGUCACAAACGAUCGGCGCCUAUGACCAAUUAUCAAACCAUAUCUCAAAAUUCUCGUUGAUACAAUACAUGACUUACAUCGCACAUGAGUCUACGUAGUUCGGUCCAGAAGAUCUACAAAUCAGAUCUCUGAUCCGUAACUUCCAAGGAUCCAUAUUAUGCUUCUAGAAUAACAUAUUAAAGUUUCAAAACGAUCCAACGGUCGGAUCUCCGCCAAUUGCCAAAACCAAGUGGCGGUUAACUAUUUUACAAACUUACAAUUCUAAUUCAAGAAGAUCCGUAUGUCGGAUUCCCAAUCUGUAAGUUCCUAUAUUCCUCAAAUAUUAUGAAUAAUAACCUAUUAAAGUUUGAUGAAUAACCUAUUAAAGUUUGAUGACGAUCCAACGGUCGGAUCGUCGAUUCAGAUAAUGGCCUAUUAACGUAUCUUGUAGAAUUUUGGUUAUAACGAUCAAUUUACGUUAUUCAAUUCUCAAAAAUGAAUUCAAGGCAUCAAAUAUAGCCUAAAAAUAGCAUUGGCGGCCCUUUGGCCACGCGCCGCCGUGGGUGGCGGUUAUCCAUCCCGACUCGCCGAACAAAUCAACUAUCUCUAAAAAUUACCAAAAUUUUCAGAUUUGAAGAUCUCAAUGAGUAGAACAACUUUCAUACCUGUGACCAAUGCCAAUUUGGCCUGGAAAGGCUCCAAUUUCAUCAAAACCCGUCGGAAACCCUAGUUGUGAGUGUGUUCGAUCACACUCCAAAACAACUCCGUCGUCCCAACCAUUGCUUGGGAUUUGUUCUAGGCCUCAAGAGGAUUCCAUGGGUGGUGGCAAUUGAAAGAAAUUGCUUUGGGAUUGGGUGAUUCAAAGCCAAAGCGGCCGCACACCUCCUUGCGUGUUCCUCCAUUUUCAAGGCCAAAUAUCUCCAAAUUUGAGAUGGAAUGGAUAGAGGGAAGGUCGUGGAGGGUUUUACAAGGGUUGGUUUGAUGCAAUUCGUCGGAAAAAUGGGCCAAAACUAGUCAGAAAUGGCAAGAACACCGAUCGGGCCGGGUUACCAAUUUGCGGGUCGUGAUUCCCCGUUUCUCCCUUCCCUCCUUUCUCCUUCUUUCUUCUCUUUCUGAUUGUUCAGAUUCUCCUUCUCUCUUCUCCUGAUUCGUCCCCUCAUUCUUCUUUCAGAUUGGGCAGUUUUGCCCAAUCCCAUUUUUCCUUUCUUCUUCCUUCCCGACUGCCCUCUUUCUUUCCCAUAUUCUAAUCAUUCUAAUAUAAAAAUAUAUACAUAUAUAAGUAUAAAUAUUAACUAAAACCAAAAUACUUCUCGGGUUUACAGUUCCGUAAAACUUUAACCGUAACUCCAAAUCCUCUUCUGUUUGCGCCUACGAGCCCGUAUUGUCGAGUACUUCAGGAAUGCGCUAAAAGAAUUCCAUACGUCUCACUACACGUUGGUAAAUGAAAGUAAAAAAACCCUUCACCUCUAGGGCAUCAUCAUAAAAUCAUACUUUUAAAAUUUCUAAAAUAAUAAAAUUUGGGACGGGUUGUCACAUUCAUUGUGUUUGUAUUUGUUAGCCAAUUAAGGACAUUUUAUUCAAUCUCUUUUAAAAAAAAAUUAUAAGAAAAAUCAUAUGAGAAAUAAUUACCAUUUCUCUUUACAAAAAAAAAAUGAAAAUCAAUGGGAUAAACACAUAUAAGAAAUAAAACUUCCAAUCUGAAAAAUGAUUGAGCUUGUGACAUAAAAAAGAGAGGGCUAAUGUUAGGGAUGAGGUUGGAGAGUUGGGAGGAGAAUAAUUUUUCCUUUACUUUUUAAAUUUUAUUUCAUUUUAAAUCAAAUAAAUUAUAAUUUUAUAAAUCAUUUAUAAAAAAAAUUACAAAAAUUAAAUGAAAAUGUCUUUAAUUUGCUAACGGAGAUAAAUAGAAGACCAAAUCGGCUAAAUUAAAAACACAGGUAUUAAAUUAAUCCAAUGACUAAAACACAUAUACUAUUUUAACAUUUAAGCUAUCUUAAAAAUGCUUAAAAGCUCAGAAUGGCUGGAGCAGUUUAUGUAACAAUUACUUUUCGACAAAAACAAAAUUCAACGACAAUAUAAAUGAAUGCCAACAGGAGAUUUAAAAUGAAUUUUUACUGGAUCUUGGGGGUUAAAAGACUCUAAGCAGUGGUCUAUUAAACAAAUAACAAUCAUCUUUCAGUCUAAAUUUUGUUUGGAUAUAUAAUUCUCAUGAAGAAUAUUUUCAAUUCCUUCUAUUUAAAAUUUCGUAAUUCAUUUCUUACUAAUUUUAUUUUAUUUUUUUUAGACUUAAAAUUUCAUCGCUUGUCACUUAGUAAUAUGGUCUAGUUGUAUUUCUCUUUACUUGUACGUAAGAGAACUUAUAUCAGAUUUUCGCCAAAAAUAAAUUUGAACCAUAUUAUUAUUAACUUAUUAUGAGACUAAAUUCAUCUUUUCUCAAAUAAUAUCGUUUAUUAAAAAAAAUAAAAAAUUCGCGUCACUCAACAUAACUCAAGUUUCUCCUGUUAAGGUGAGUAAUUUAUUUCAAGCAACUCUGCCCCGACAGGGCUCAGUUUGUCUUCUUCUUAUUUUCUAAUCUUGGGUGUCGAAAUAUCAAGUUGACAACACUACAAAGCAUGGAGGAUUGGAGCUUUCAAUUAAGUGAUCUAUAUAUUUUCUUCAAUUAUUUCCCAUAUUUCAUGGCUUAAAUUUGUGAUUACUUUUUCAAAAAUAAAAUGUCAAAUACUUUUUCUAAAAGUUAAUGCUGUUUAUUUUUUUUAGAAACAAGUUAAAAGUGGUAAUUUUAUUGAUAAAACUUAGUUUACUAUAUAUAUAAUUGUCUUCCAGUAGACCAUCGUGGAUAGAAUCAAAAGGACUAUCAAACCCUAAAAAAUUCUCACUAGUAUAAAGAGAAAAGCGAAUUCACUGUUGUGCGAUAUUGAGAUUGUUCAAAAUUCUACAAUGAACCACUUGUUAGGAUUCAAAUCAUAUAACGUUAGCAAAUAUAACGAACCAAUCACAUAAAUAGGAAAGGAUUCAGAUCAUGUAUUCGGUCAAUGGCAUUCACAACCAAAUUAAUCUUCCACAUAUCAAAUAAUUGGUAGAUUGAAGCAUUUCCAAGCUAGAUUCGGACCAAUAAUAGUUUAGCAACGAUGUUUUUCUGAAAAUUAAAUUCAAAAUCUCUCACUCAUGCGUUAAGAGAAGUAUAUACCACUUACAAUACUAGUGAAAGAUAUUCAGUUGUUUUAAUGACUUAAUUUUGAAAGGCAUAUUAAUUACUUUUAAAAAUAAUGAGCAGAUAGGAUUUGGCCUAGUGUCGAGUGCCGACCAAAAAUGAAUUGUUUUUUAUGAAGUAUAGGAUGCACCUUCACGGAAGGAGAUUAUCUCCAGAUCUCUUCCAUCUAAUCAUCCUUAUCAAACAAUCUGGACCUUUGAAAUUUGAUCUAACGGCUAAAGUUAUUAUAAUUUUUAAAGUGGGCCCAUGUUUUUAGCUGUUUGAUCAAAUUUCAAGAGUCCAGAUUGUUUGAUGGGGAGGAUUAAGUGGAAGGAAUUCGGAGAGGAUCCCUUUCCCACUUCACCACCUUCACCAAGAAGAAGAGAAAUGCUAAGAAGACUCUCAAAAGUGAGAUUUUAUAUAACUUUCUACCACCUCAUGUGUUUUGUAUAAAUCCCAUACUAACAUUAUAAAAUAGUAUGCUAAAAAAAUGAGGUAACAAAGAGUCUAUAAAAAAUCCCACUUUGAGAGACUCCUUAGCAUUUCUCAUAAAAGAAUCGUAGAAAGUGAAGUUAGUUCAAUAAUUGUUCUCUUUAAAGUGCUAUAUAUAAUCCAAAUGUUUGGUAUUGAUCAAGAAUUGAAUGGGAACAUAAGCUGAUACAGAGGAGUACAGAAUAAGUCAAAUCUAGAUCGUACCAAAUGGUUGGGGCCUUACAAGUUACUGAGAUACUCAAGUCAUGUGACAUUCGUAGGAAGAUAAUUGGGGCAUUCUACCCUACGCGCGUACUUGUAUUACAUGUCGAUAGGAUAACAUUAUAAAAUAGAAAGCAAGAUCAUGUCUUCAAACCACCAACAAACUUUCCUCCUUGCAAAUAAAAAUUUAUAUAAUGUAGAAUGUGCCACACCAUUUGGUGUACAAAUUUAAUGCGUGAAUUUAGUGUAUGUAGCACUGCCCAUUGUUAGACAUCUAGUAAAUAACAAAAGAUAUUAUAAGUGAUUUUUUUGUGUAAUCAAAUCCGAAUUUGACAUGUCAAUUUUCUAUUUUAACGAGAUAUAUAUAUAUAUAUAUAUGUACGUAUUUGUAAUACAACUAUUUCCAAUUAUAAUAAGUCUUUUUAUUUUUUCUUUUGUUGAAUAUCAAUAAGUUCAAGGAAUUCGAAAGUCCACGGCCACUUUCGAGUCGUUUUCCGGCCAAACCACGGCGAGUUAGCCAUCUAAAAAGGUACCAUUCUCUUCGUCUCGUCGAGAAGUAUGAUUUUCGUUUUUUAAAUCACUUGAUUUCGUUGAGUAUUGAAGAAGUUAUGAACAUUUAAAGUUUACCCAGUUUCCGGCUAGUUUUCCAGUUUUCCCUCGGACCAGUCAACUUUGAGGCUAUUUUCCGGCCAUCUCCGGCAACCAUUGGGCUUCCAAAUAGGUAUAAUCUUAUUCUACACUUUCCUAUCUUCAUUUUGAUGUAUUAUGGGUCGAAUUUGGUUAAGAAACGAUUGAGUUACAAAACUUUGAAAAUUGUCCAAACUUCCGGCCAAGAGCUCAGGGACACUUAACGGAGUUUUUAACGGAAUGACCAAAAUGAUGGAUGGUGGACAAUCUCAGGGACCACUUUGGUUGAUUUGAAAUGUUAUGGACCAAAGUGAUGAGUUAUGCAAAUCUCAUGGACCAUUUUGGUUAUUUAGCCUUAAAAAGAUAAGUACUCAUAAAUUAUAACCUCAAUCAUAGCCUCGCGGCUAACCAAAAGCAUUGCACCUGAUUUCUUGCGUGUUAGACAUGAAGCCUUAAUAUAAUGUUGGAAAAUAAAGUCCUACAUCAAAGACACAAUAAAAUACUUUACAAUUUAUAUGUACGAAGUUCACUACUAAUACUAUCGAAUCCUUUUGUUAUAUUGUUCAUGCUUGAUAAUAUGGCAAUUUUUGAUACAAAAUAGUAUGAUGAUUAAGUUAAUUAAAGACAAUAUUAGCGAUGUUACAUAAUGAACCAUGCUAAAUUAAUCUAAGGAGUUUAUCACAUGAUUGAAUUUCUGUUUCAUUUUCAGAGUGCGUGCAUGCAUGCAGGUCAUCAUUCCCGCGUAUUGAAUCUGCAUGCGUUUAUUAACAUGUUCUAUGUAAAAAUUGUAAAUACAUACACACGCACACGCACACGCACGCUUUAUGUAUAUGCAAUGAUCAAGUUCCUACAAAAAGUAUAUAAAAACCUUCAAGUUAAAUUGACCAGUCACAUCAUCUCACCGGGUGUCCUUCCUCCUUAAUGAAAGGAUUCGGCUUUUCUAUCUUAACUGUGGUAUUCAACAUAGUUGUAAUUAAUCAACCUAAACCAUUUCGUUAUGACCUAAUUAAUAUAAUCUUAAUGUGCAUGUGGAUUAGGUAGCUAAUUCUACUUUGGAUUCGAUCUUGACAUCGAGGUUAUCUUAAUUAGUGUCGGUUAAUUUUAUAUGCAUUUAUGAGUGAUCAAAUUUUAUGAACCUAUUUUGUGUGGUGCUUUUAUCAUUGAUUGACAUGUAUCAAAUUUAUGACAAUAAAGUUAAGCAUGGUCAUGUUUAUUACCAUGUAUCAAUUACUGAUAGAGGUCACAAAGAAACAACACGUAAAAAGAGUGCAAAAAAUUUGAACUCCAUCUCUGAUUACAUCACCAUGGCACGUAAACACAAUGGUAUCCAUGUAUGAACAUGUAGGAGUCAAGACUCAAGAUUUAUAAAUUUGUUUUGUUGUCCUUUUUUAUGAAGAAAUUAAUGAUUUGAUUUGGCACAAGAAGUAUAGUACAUGAAAGUCGAACUGAAUCUGGCUGGAAUGUAGGCAAUGAUACAACUCAAUUUGCUGAGAAGUAUGAAGGAAACAUAAUUCUUCAUUUAUAUAAAUAAAAAGAUUAAAAAAAAAACUGAGCACAAAUCUAUGAUGGCCAACAUUCCAGCCAGAUUCAUUCAAAGCUGAUGGGUCUUUUCCCUUUCUCCUUUGGUAAUAUUACUUAAGAAUGAUUGAUAAGAAAUUGAAUGUGGAUACGUACGGUUUGAAUAUUGGCAAGCUCAAGCUCAUGUUCGAGAAUCCUUACACUUCUUCUUUGGUUUUUCCUAUGGCUAAAAAUUGACAUUUCAAUUAUUUAAACCAACCAUGAUCAACAGUUCUAUGAAUUGUUUUUCAAAAUUUGGUUAAAUUGUUUCAUCCAAUUAAUUCAUCGAAAUUAUUUAAUUGAGAGAUUCAACUACUUUGUAAGAGCGUUCAAAGUGUACAUGUAAUUUGACUGUCCCGACACACCUUUCUCAUAUCUCUCUAAUAACUUUAGUUUUGCUUUUAGUUUUGCUUUUGAACAAAUUAAUAAUUAAAAAUGCAAACCAUAUUGCAUUAAAAGGCGAGAGAUUGUAGUAAAAAUAUUUUCAUCAUUUUAAUUUGUCGACCCCAUAAUUCUUUGCUCUAUACAUUUUAUCUUUUUGGUGGUCCUUGUUUUGGUUGCUGUAAAUUGCGAGGGAUUGUAAUAAAGUGUCGGCAACCAACAAUUUGCGCCGAUGUUCUCGUCACCUCACGUGGAAAAUGGAAUGGAGGGACGUUUAUAUUUUCAAUUUUUAUGUUAAAAUUUUCAAGUUUAUACAAGUCAAUGGUUGAAAUUGCCGUAGAAACAAACACAACAUCUGGACAACAAGGAAGAAGACAUGAAAUAGGGAGCCUACGAUAACGAAUUAAACAAAUUAUACUUAACUAAUCCAUUUUAAUAAAUGUUGGUGUUGUCACUCAUGUGAAAAUGGAGAAAAAAUAAUCGUUAUCCACCUACAAUCGGAUGUUUAAUCUAUUUACUAGCUAGUUACAAAGUCAAAGGUUUAUCAUUUAAUGGAAUUGUUCGUGGCAGGAAUUUCCGUCGGGGAUGUUUCCUGGCCGACGAGCACACAGCUCCCCUGGAGGUUGGUGCCAGUUGAGGGCUGCUGUCGGGCUUCUGCUUCACUAUCGGGCGUUGUCGGGCAAGUCUCGUCGGGCAAGUCUCGUCGAGCAAGACUCUUCGGGCAAGACUCUUCGGGCAAGGCUGAAAGAGAAGGACAGCAUUAACUUUGAGAGGUGCCUUUGUGGGGCCUUAGGUGUAGGCCUUGAGGCUCACAAUCAAGGUUAACAUUUAAGUGCUCAGGCGUGCCACUGCCAUCUUUAGCAUGGCAGAUGUAAAAUAGUUGUCGUGCUUUAGUUGUAUAUAUAUAUGUAUCCAAGAAACCGUGUUAGUUAUAACAGGUGCCUUUGUGGGGCCUUAGGUGUAGGCCUUGAGGCUUCCCAUAAAUAACUAAACCAGUGCUCGAACACAUCAUAUUUGUUCUCGUGAUUGUAGGAGUUUUCUAACUAUUAUACUUCUGAUUACCCGAAUCCAAGAAGUAGAAUGAACCCAAAUAGAUGCCUUUGUGGGGCCUUAGGUGUAGGCCUUUAGGCUUCCCAUCAGAGUUCAUUCUUAUACUUAGACUCUUUAGAUCGCUGAACGGAAUGAAUCCAAAUGGAUGCCUUUGUGGGGCCUUAGGUGUAGGCCUUGAGGCUUUCCAUUAGAAUCCAUUCCAUGCUCAAGCGUUCUAUGGUAAUCAUGAUAUAAUAGAAAGAAAACUAGAAGGUAGGUUGAUUACUUGCGCCCCAAGUAACUUCGGACUUCUCGUUUAUCAAGGACUGUCGUGGAUGGGUUAAGUCCACAUAAGGUUCUUUUUUAUGCCUUGAGGCCAAUGACUUUUAACUGAUCAGAUUUACAUGCCCGAGGGCUUAGGACUUGGAUCUGGUUGAACACUGACGAUAUAUUCAAAUCGGAUUCAAGCACUGAGAAAGCCUUUUAAUAGUCAUGUUGCUAGAAAUAACUUGCAUAUAACUGGAAGUAUACAACAUAUUGAAAAGACAAAACUAAAGCAAAGAAGGUCGGGCAAGGUUAAACCUUAUCGGGUAAGGUUGCUCGUCUUGCAGGUUCCUAUCUUUGUAGUUUUGUCAAAGGUCUGAAAGCUUAGAGGGGUAGAGAGAGAGAGAUUACAAAAGAUGAAUCGAUACUACAGCAAGGUUGAACAAGGUAGCAGAGCUAUUACAAAGGGUUGAAGAUAGGGUUAUCCCGAGAGGGAUGAAGGUUUGUCCCGAAAGGGAUGAAGGCUGACUACAGCUUUGUUUUGAAGGCAAAUCUGGCUUUGAGCAGAGUUUGUGCUUGCAUUUGUUUGUUUGAUUGAGUGUCCUUAUUCCUGGAUUUUCUUUCUUCUUAUAUAGACAACUCGGCUUGGGCUUCUGUAGCAGCAGCUUUGCCCGAAUGCAGUUUGAGGGUGAUGACUCAUCAGCUAUUUUACAUGUAAUGCCACCAUAAAGUGCUUUAUGGGCUGUGUAACUGAUCAGUCUGCACCACUUGGCCUUUGGGUAGGUAAGCAAGUGGUCUUCAUGAGUUGUACCAGGUCAGAAAAGGCAUUUCCCUGCCUUCUGGGCUUCGACUGGGCUUCGGCUAUCUUCCCUUUCGGGCCUCCUUUUGGGCCAACUCCUUUCUUGAGCCCAAAGUUCAAGUUUUAAUCCAAACAGGAAUCAUGAGAUGUAAAUAUCUAUGAUUAAUACGUGUGCGAUAAUUAAACUAACCACACGUAAUACUAUAAUGAGUUUGUAAUUCAAAUGGUUAAGACUAUUAAUUUGUUCGAGGAGUUGUGAUCAAUAUUCCCUCUUUAACUAUUGCUUGUACAGCCACUUAAUAUUACAGUAUAGUGGUAUUCUUCUUCCCUUUUAAGUGAGAUGUCUUAUGUUCAAUUCUUGUCAAAGAUAAAUUUUAACCACAUUAUUACUAGUUCAUUGUGAGACUUGACCCACCCCCCACUAACUUCUUAUAGAUAAUAUCGUUUAUUAAAAAAAUAUAUAUAUAUAUUGCUUGUGCAAAACACAUAGGUUUCACUACUAGAAUUUUUUUUUUUUUAACAAACGAUAUUAUCUACUCUAAGGGGAUGGGGUAAGAUUAGCCUCACAAUGGGUUAGCAAUAAUGUAGUUCAAAUAGAAUUUUGAUUCUUUUAAACCUAGGAGUGCAAUACUAAUUCUUUAUCCUUACGUUAACCAUAAUAUCAUUACAAAGAAAGUUAUAACCAGGCAUAAUUAGCAACUUGGAGUAUAGAGAUAAGAUGCAUGACUUAAAAGGAAAUUUGAAGUGAUUUUUCGAAACUCCUUUUCUAUUUCUGCACACCCUUUUUAAGUUUAGUCCUAGAUUCAUUUUUUAUUUGUUCAAUCUAAUUAUAAGAAAAAGAAAAGAUAGAGAUGUGUGGGAGGUAAAGACGGUGUGUAAAUUUUCUUUCAAACAAACAUAGUUCACCGAGUGGUUGCAAUUCACAGGGGACCUUCUUGGAUACUCGGAAGACCCGUACUCUUGAGUACUGCUCUAAAAAAUGGGCCUAGGCAAUGGUGUUCUGCCGCGAUUUAGGCCAAAUCAUCCAACAAAAUCAGAUAAGAGUUACACGCCUGUCUAGGCGGUGAUCUAGGAAGGUUUUUUUUUUUUUUUUUUGGUAUACUGACUUUCUCUUGUCUUUCGUCGCCGUUGCAUCUCUCAUAGACAAUGGAAGAUCUGAUGAGAAGAGGGAGGAUGAGAGAAAGAGAAGAGUUCCAUUUGCAAAUCUGCAAUUGCAUAGAAGUGGUGGGACAACAAUAGUUAGGGUUUAACAUUUAAGUCAGGUUACAUUUUUCUUGAACGAACAAUAUUAUCUAAACUAAGGCAGUGGAGAAAUAUUACUAAAUUGAGAGAAACGAACCUACCCCUCGCGGAGGGUCCAAAAAGGAGCAGUAAGGAAAGUACCGGGCCUUCAAAACCCUAGCCCACAAUGAGUUUGGGUCCUGAAUCAAUCUCCAACAUUGUUUAGCAAGUAGGACAUCAUUAAAAUCCACAAAAUUCCGAAAGCCCAUUCCCCCUUCCGACUUCGGCAGACCCAAAGGCUCUUUUGAUACCCAAUGAAUACGUCUCUCCCUGCCCUUUUGGCCCAACCAAAAUCUGGUGAUCAUCGCAUCCAAUUUAUGUUUGGUAACUCAAGCAAACCUAGCUUCUUUGUUUUUUUCCAAAAUCACAGCCAUUCAAAGCAAAAAAAAAAAAGCGAAAAACCAGUUUUUUUAUUUUUUAUUUUUACCAAAACACGAGUGAAUAGUAGUCAUUAAUGAAAUUUUUAAUACGGCAAUCCUAUCCUCCCUCGCCACCCCCCCUGUCUGCGCAUCAAACGUAUUUCCUCGUCUCCGAGGCUCCCAACUCGAUCUCUCCCAGUCGAGAAAUUAGUGGACACCAAAUUCAAUCAAAAUUGAAAGAGACUGAAAUUCAAUCAAAUUGUAAGAGAAUACAAACCCGCAAAUCUUAUCGACCUCGGAAGGAUGCCGUCCUUGGCUUCACUUUCUCUAGCUUCUGUUUUUUUUUUUUUUUUUUUUUUUUUGAUCUUUUAUUUUUUGGAAGUGUGGGUGAAGCCAUGGAUUGCUGGAGCCUGGGAGAGAAGCAAGACGGAGGUUACAAAGAAAAAAGAAAAUUGAGGAUUAUGAAAAAUUAAAUUAAAUUAAAGAUGAAUAUGAUAACAUCACAUCCCCACCAUAUACAUUUUAUUCAUUUUAUACUGUCACAGUGAUUUUUCAUAAAAGUUUACCAAAACCCGCGCUCUUUUUUUUUUUGCUAAAAACACUUUUACAUCUAGAGUUCACAAAUACUUUACCGUUCAUUUUAUAGAUGUUUAUUCUCAUAGCACAUCAGAAACAGUUUUUUUAAAAGCACAACAAUACCAAACUAGCCCUGAAUGUGAUUAAGACUUUUUGUUGGCUUGUUAUUCAUGUUUGGCUUGUUUUGGGAGUGUUUAAUCUCGACUUGUAAGUAUAAAGAGCUGAGGUCGAACAAAAUAUUUAGAAAAAUGAGCUGAGAUACAAGUUUAGUACGCAACUCGUAUCAAUUUAGAAUGAACAUGCAAUCAUUUGGCAGUAUCAAACCAUGCUCGAGUACGAACAGUAUCAUUUGAACCAAGCACCUGGUAUUUGGCGU
rnacentral:lncRNA from 1 species